GAGACCCGUGUACGUACAAGCAGUGGGAGCACCCUUCGGGGUGUGACUGCGUACCUUUUGUAUAAUGGGUCAGCGACUUAUAUUCUGUAGCAAGGUUAACCGAAUAGGGGAGCCGGAGGGAAACCGAGUCUUAAUUGGGCGUUAAGUUGCAGGGUAUAGACCCGAAACCCGGUGAUCUAGCCAUGGGCAGGUUGAAGGUUGGGUAACACUAACUGGAGGACCGAACCGACUAAUGUUGAAAAAUUAGCGGAUGACCUGUGGCUGGGGGUGAAAGGCCAAUCAAACCGGGAGAUAGCUGGUUCUCCCCGAAAGCUAUUUAGGUAGCGCCUCGUGAAUUCAUCUCCGGGGGUAGAGCACUGUUUCGGCUAGGGGGCCAUCCCGGCUUACCAACCCGAUGCAAACUGCGAAUACCGGAGAAUGUUAUCACGGGAGACACACGGCGGGUGCUAACGUCCGUCGUGAAGAGGGAAACAACCCAGACCGCCAGCUAAGGUCCCAAAGUCAUGGUUAAGUGGGAAACGAUGUGGGAAGGCCCAGACAGCCAGGAUGUUGGCUUAGAAGCAGCCAUCAUUUAAAGAAAGCGUAAUAGCUCACUGGUCGAGUCGGCCUGCGCGGAAGAUGUAACGGGGCUAAACCAUGCACCGAAGCUGCGGCAGCGACGCUGAUGCGUUGUUGGGUAGGGGAGCGUUCUGUAAGCCUGUGAAGGUGGCCUGUGAGGGUUGCUGGAGGUAUCAGAAGUGCGAAUGCUGACAUAAGUAACGAUAAAGCGGGUGAAAAGCCCGCUCGCCGGAAGACCAAGGGUUCCUGUCCAACGUUAAUCGGGGCAGGGUGAGUCGACCCCUAAGGCGAGGCCGA
rnacentral:rRNA from 1 species